AGUCAAUAGAUACCUUGGUAGUCCACGCCGUAAACGAUGAGUACUAGGUGUAGGAGGUAUCGACUCCUUCUGUGCCGCAGUUAACACAAUAAGUACUCCGCCUGGGAAGUACGGUCGCAAGAUUAAAACCUCAAAGGAAUUGACGGGGGUCCCGCACAAGCAGCGGAGCAUGUGGUUUAAUUCGAAGCAACGCGAAGAACCUUACCUAGACUUGACAUCUCCUGAAUAGUGUAGAGAUACAUGAAGCCCUUCGGGGUCAGGAAGACAGGUGGUGCAUGGUUGUCGUCAGCUCGUGUCGUGAGAUGUUGGG
rnacentral:rRNA from 1 species